rnacentral:lncRNA from 1 species
UUUUUUUUUCUGUAUAUCUUGUCUCUUUUUCUAGUAGCAAUUUUCUGAUACUUUCCAUUAACCCUUCUCAGAUGAAAAAAGUACAACCUAUGAUUAACACACUUAGCCAUCAUUACUUUUCUAGGUACAAUUUUUGGCCACAAACCUCCUCAUGUAUUACCAGUCAGCCAACCAGAGUUGGAAGCUCUUGAGUCAUGUAUUCAUUUCCAGCCCAUUAAGUGGCUGCUCUUCACCAAGAUCCCCCCCCCCUCAGUCAGGUGGUCCCGCUCAAAAAGAGAUAAUGGGUUUGUUGGUAACAACUAGCAUGUAUGACAGAUAGGAUAGUUACAGACUAUGAAUCAAGGUAAACAAAAAUAUAAAUUUGAUUUCUCUAUAACUGAACUGAAGUCCUAUUUUGAAACUUUAUUCAGAUGAUAGAAAAAAAAUUAGGCUUCAGUAAUUUAAGGUAAGUCACUCAAUUCAGGGUUUUCUCAGUCAAAUAAGAAUUCUUCCCUUACUGAUUCUCCAUGUGUCUUAGUUUGGGUGAGCCCAAAAGUAGCAUCUGAGAGGAGGAAUUAGAUUCUGGUGGUUUGUGUGAGAUGUAUCUUUGGAAACAACAAUGAGACAGCAAAAAGAGUGAGACAUAGGAGAAGAGAAAACAGUAAAGAGUUUGUUGUUGAACUGCUGGCAACUGGAACUCUAUUCUACUGCAUCCUCUUAAUGGCUGGUUAGAAUGAGACCCAUAAUUGUUUCUGAAAAAUAGGGUGCUGAAACACUAAUCCUCCAACUCCCACUCCUCAUUGGUUGAGAACUUCCCCUGGAGGUAUUAAUUGCUCUGUAUUUCUGGACUACCCUGCAUGCAAAUUGAGAAAAACCCCGCAUCUUCAGGAAACAUCCUUAGACAGUAAAGUGUAAAUUUUCGUGCAUGCUUGGAGUAGUCUGCACAAGAACUAGCCACUGGAGCUGCAGUCAAUAUCUGAGGGUAGUCAAAAGAAUGUGAUAUGGAACCCCAAAAUUUUCUACCACACUCCAGGAGCAAAGACAUGUUGUAUCACUGUGUGGGUGAUAGUCAGAUAUCAUAACCUAUCCAAGUUGGAAUCUACUGAGAAAAUUAAGGCUCAAUUUAACUAGUCUUUAUCUUCUAGCUCUGUUAGUAAAUUCUGAGGCAUCUUCAUUGCCCUCUAGUUUCCAAUUGUCAAGGAUAUGUAGGAAAUAUGUACCCUCCUUCCCAUGCCCAUACAGGCCCACACAACCUGCACCCUCUCUCCACUCAGCUCUUUCUUCAUUCCUCUCAGGGAAAGGCCUGGAAAGGGGCUUGAGGAGCAGUUCUUAGGAAUGAAACCUGUGGACCCAUUCUCAGGGACACACACAAAAAUCUAUUUCAAUAUUUGCAUCUCCUGACUCUCCAUUCCUUUACACUAAUCUAUGAGAACCCUAUCUAAUUUCAGCAGCUGGGGAAAACUGCCCUGACUCAUUCUGUAUUUUUUUCAUGUGUUUUAUUUAUGUCAUAAACUUUGUGUCCUGAAUCCUUUGAGGUUCUGACUCUUGAUAUUAUGCAACUCAAAAUUUUUACUCUCAUCAUUACUGUCUCUUCUGGGAGUUUCAAAAGGCUGUUUUGAGCCUAAAAAGCUGAGCAUUGACUCCUUUCUUUCCCUUUUGUAUUUCUUAAGUAACUGUACCCUAAGAGUAGUAAGUAUAGAAUAUCCUCUCAUAUUGAGUCUCCAAAAGCAGACCUUGAGAUGAGGACUUGUGUGAAAGUAAUUUAUUAGGACAUGUUCCCCUAAAAUACCAGUAAAGGAGUAAGGAACUGGAAUAGGGAAAGGAAGAAAAACAAGCAAGGCUGUAAUAUUAAACCAAGUCCUGUAAGAGGGUAACUUUGGCUCCAUCCCAGAGUCUAUCCCUGGAGACAAUGAAGGUCAUGCCUCAGAAUUUUCCCCCUCAAGGGACAAGAGAGUUAGAAUAUUUAUCCUCUCAUCCCAUCAGUCAUUGGUUAAGGGCUGCCCAAUGGGAGAAGAGGGAAGGGGAGAGGGUGUGGAGACUGUGGUAUUAAAAUCCCAGUCACUUCAGCAAAUUCUGUUCUGACAGCAUCUGUUGGGAUAGCCUUACCAUUAUCUGAAUGGGGGAUCAGUCUGAGCAGCAGGAAACAGGAGGGAAAGAAACAGAGGAUGAUGUUUCAGAAUAUAAUCUUGCAAUGCAUAUCUACUAUGCUUAACUCCCAUGCUCUCUUACACCAUCAUGAAUUUCAUAGGGGGAUAUUAAGUUUUGUAUACUCUCCUUUUCUUCCAGGCCAAUGGCUUUUUCUGCAAAACUUAAUCUCCCUAGUCACAAGCUCUUUCCCUCUCUGCUCUUGUGUACUAUCCUCUGAGAAUAAGCCUAUCAAAGUUGGGUUUCCCCUACCAGAAUUUGGAGUCCAUAAGAGCAGAAACCAGCUUCUUCUUUUCUGCAUCCCCAGGCCUAAGUGCUCUGUAAAUGCUUAUGAAAGAAUAGAUAAAGGUGUACAGUUCACUCACAGGCUUGGAAAUGUGAGGUAAAUCCUGCCUUGUGCCUCCAAUUCAUGCAUUUUUAUUCAGAUCAAAACAGUUUACAAUGAAUGUUAAGGGAACAAAAUGUCAAAAAUGGUGACACGUGGUUUUAGGGAUGUGUAUGAAAAGGGAAAAGCUUGUUUAGCCCACUUUGCUUUGAUUAUGAAAAGGCCAGCUGAUUAAGAAUAGUUUGUUUAUGAGCACAAGGGUGGUUUUUAGCACUGACCAGGAAGUCCAUCUCCUUGUGCUGCCUUGAGAAAUGUGAGAUUUCCCCCUCUGCAAAAGUGUCAGGUUUUUCUAGAUUUUCUACAACCUGAGGAUAGCUCUUCAUGCACAUGUGCAAUUGCCAAAGAUUAAUAAUGAUAUGAAUAGAUGGGUUGAUAAGUGCAUGGAUGGAUGACGUGUAAAUACAUUUUACUAGACCACUAAACUCUAAUAGAAAUAAGGUAUUAACUGGGAAGACAGUUCCUUUUAGGACAGAAACUUAAUAUCAUGUCAAAAUAUAUUUUUAGAGCUUAAAAAAUAUCCAUAGAUUAUCAUUAGGCACUUAUAAGAAGAAAAAUGAGGAAGUUGAGCAUGAAGUGAACAAUCUGAUUUAUUUAAUAAACUGACAUAAUCACUGGGCCUUAAUGAUUUCCAAAGCAAGCAUAUCCUAUAGUUGGGUCUAUUAUACCUGACAAGACCAUAAUAAUGUGUUGCUAUUUUAGUGGACUGUAAAUAAAACUUCCUACCUGUACCCUUCACCCAAUUCUUAGGAUUGAUGACAUCUACGCCAAGUUAAUGGAGGGAGACAUUCACUGAGUGUUCCUCACACACCAAAAGAUAGAACCAAAAGAUUUUUUAAUAUUCUGUAACCCACGAAGAGUUUUGUUGUCUGGUCAACUUUCUUUGAGGGAAUUUACUGACCUAUGUUAUAUUCUGGACCACAUGAAAAAAAUAUUUUUUUGUAUAGGAAUUUUGUUUGUAGACAUGAAGGCUGAGAUACACUCCCUUUUACAUGCACUCCUCCAGUUCAGACUGUAUCUCAACAUAACAUCACAGUUCUUUCAUUGCUUUUAGAACAGUAGGAUUGGCAGGCAGGCUGCCUCAUAUUAGAGUUUACAUCUAUAUCUGUUUCUUUUGUUGGAUUAAGACUUUCCCCAAAGUAUCUAGAGUAAUGCCUAGCUCAUAGUCUCUGUCACUUCUUUUCUGUGUAGGAAUCCCUUACUGAUCUUCAAAGAUUUAGCUCGAAAGUCAACCCUCAUGCUCCUCUAGAACAGUUAAUUGCUCCCUUUUAUGAGCUCCCCCUACACUGCAUUCACAGUGCUCCUAUAGUGUUUAUCUCAAUUACAGUCACUUAAAUAAAUAUAUGACGCUUCUAUUGAAGCAUGAACUUAUGAAGAGAAAGAAUACUGCAUUUUCACCAUUUUUCCCUUAGUGCCUAACAUACUGCUUGCCAUACAGUAGAUGCUAAAUAAAUCUCUGUUGAAUUAAAGUGUAGUUUAUCUACCAACAAAUAACAAACUGAAGACAAAACUCCCUGAAAUGGAAUUCCAGUUCAAAUUAGGAAAUGUGAGUAAAUUCUAACUCUCAGGAUAAUGAUUAGGGCUGAAGAAGAAAUAUUCUUGGGCUUGAUAAGAGAUCAAGGAAGUUCCGUUCCCGUCGUGGCGCAGUGGUUAACGAAUCCGACUAGGAACCAUGAGGUUGCAGGUUCGGUCCCUGCCCUUGCUCAGUGGGUUAACGAUCCGGCGCUGCCGUGAGCUGUGGUGUAGGUUGCAGACGCGGCUCGGAUCCCACGUUGCUGUGGCUCUGGCGUAGGCCGGUGGCUACAGCUCCAAUUCAACCCCUAGCCUGGGAACCUCC